GCGACAAAUUUCAAAGAAGUCGCAUAAAAUUAGAACUAAAAUUUGUAACAAAAAAUGUUCUUAGAAUCUGGCCAUAACAGAUGUCACUGGAUGCUUUUGUGUGCGCUCGCGCGCGCGGUGUGUGUAUGUGUGUGUGUGUGUGCAUCCCAUAUUUCGCACAAAAUCUCUUUAGGUAAUUUAGAAAAAAAGGAAUAUAUGUCGUUGGAUUCAGCUAUCCUGUAGUACCAAAGGAUAAAGCAAGAGUACGUGUUCAAAUAAGUGCAUCGCAUUCAACAGAAGAUAUCGAUUAUGUCGUAAAUGCCUUUAUACAAGUUGGAAAAGAGCUGGCGAUAAUUCAAUAAAUAUUUUUCCUAUGUUACUAUGAUACAAACGUAGAAUAAAUUCUGUUAGCUUGUCACUAA